GCCGCGGUAGAGAAAUGGUAACUCAUCAGACUUCUAAUCUGAAGACUGCAGGUUCGAGUCCUGCUCGUGGCU
rnacentral:tRNA from 1 species